rnacentral:tRNA from 1 species
GGUCCCGUAGUUCAAUGGAUAGAAUGUGAGAUUCCGGUUCUCAUGAUCCGAGUUCGAAUCUCGGCGGGAUCA